ensembl:miRNA MIR6751 microRNA 6751
UCUUCUUGGGGGUGAGGUUGGUGUCUGGCCCCAGCAGCCCAGACUGAGCCUCUCUCUCUCCAG